ACAACCCUAAAGGCCUAAACCAGUAAACGUAAUUCCAAUUUCCAAGUCUCUCUAACUCUUUCUCUCUGUCGCCAACGCCAUCUCUCAAGCCUCAAGUGUCGUCGUCUCUCAUAUAAUUGUCGACACCCAGCACCCAUACGCAUUUCCUCCCAUUUGAAAUCAGAUUGCAACCCUUGUUCCCGGCUCUUGGAGAUUGGAGUUGCCCUCGCCAAUCGCCUAGAUGCUCACCAUCAGUUGUUGUCACAGUUUGCUGAUGUGACAAAACAAUUUGGAGUUAUGCUUUUCUAGAAGAAAAUGGACAUUGGAGUAUCUGAAAUUGAUUUCUUGAAAAUGCAUAUUAAAGAUGGUCAGUAUUCUUUACAACCACAUGUUGGUCAGGAAUCAUUAAAGUUUCCAAACACAGACCUCUCUAAAAAGGAAGUUCAACAAUUUCUUGGAAUCGAGAACUACAUGGCAAAUUUUGUCGAUCGUCUAUCUCCUGUUAUUAAGCCACUGCAAAACAUGCUGAAGAAGAAUGCAACACCACGGUCUUCAAAACAAACGGAAGCAGUUCGAAAAAUUAAGAACAUGUACAAGGAUUACCAGCUUUGUCCAUUCCUACUGUUCAGAAGAUAUUUUUGCAAACUGAUGCAAGUGAUCUAUACUGGGCAGUAGUUCUCUUAGAAGAAAAAGAUGGAAAAAGGAGUAUAUGUGAAUACAAAAGUGGAUCGUUUACAGAAGCAGAAGAGCAUUAAUGCAUUAUCAUUCCACAUUCAAAGAAAUUUUGACAGUCAAAUGUGGGAUAUCUUUUCAGUAAAAUCUAAAUUCCAGAUUUUUGCAUGUGUGUGUGUGUGUGAAGAAAAAUAAUGCAUUAAUUAUUUUUUAAAAUCAUUUUAUUCACUCUCUAAA